ACGAAGGGGGCUAGCGUUGUUCGGAUUUACUGGGCGUAAAGCGCACGUAGGCGGAUCGUUAAGUCGGGGGUGAAAUCCUGGAGCUCAACUCCAGAACUGCCUUCGAUACUGGCGAUCUCGAGACCGGAAGAGGUGAGUGGAACUCCUAGUGUAGAGGUGGAAUUCGUAGAUAUUAGGAAGAACACCAGUGGCGAAGGCGACUUUCUGGUCUGUAACUGACGCUGAGGCGCGAAAGCGUGGGGAGCAAACAGGA
rnacentral:rRNA from 1 species